CACGUAGGCACCAAGCGUUGUCCGGAUUUAUUGGGCGUAAAGAGCUCGUAGGCGGUUCAGUAAGUCGGGUGUGAAAACUCUGGGCUUAACCCGGAGAGGCCACUCGAUACUGCUGAACUUGAGUACGGUAGGGGAGUGGGGAAUUCCUGGUGUAGCGGUGAAAUGCGCAGAUAUCAGGAGGAACACCGGUGGCGAAGGCGCCACUCUGGGCCGAAACUGACGCUGAGGAGCGAAAGCGUGGGGAGCGAACAGG
rnacentral:rRNA from 1 species